rnacentral:rRNA from 1 species
UGGGGAAUAUUGGACAAUGGGCGAAAGCCUGAUCCAGCCAUGCCGCGUGUGUGAAGAAGGUCUUCGGAUUGUAAAGCACUUUAAGUUGGGAGGAAGGGCAGUAAGCGAAUACCUUGCUGUUUUGACGUUACCGACAGAAUAAGCACCGGCUAACGCUGUGCCAGCAGCCGCGGUAAUACAGAGGGUGCAAGCGUUAAUCGGAAUUACUGGGCGUAAAGCGCGCGUAGGUGGUUCGUUAAGUUGAAUGUGAAAGCCCCGGGCUCAACCUGGGAAAUGCAUCCAGAACUGGCGAGCUAGAGUAGGGCAGAGGGUGGUGGAAUUUCCUGUGUAGCGGUGAAAUGCGUAGAUAUAGGAAGGAACACCAGUGGCGAAGGCGACCACCUGGGCUCAUACUGACACUGAGGUGCGAAAGCGUGGGGAGCAAACAGG